rnacentral:rRNA from 1 species
CUUGAACUUUAUAAGAGGUCCAGCCUGCCCAGUGACUCUGUUCAACGGCCGCGGUAUCCUAACCGUGCGAAGGUAGCGUAAUCACUUGUUCUUUAAAUGUGGACUAGUAUGAAUGGCACUACGAGGGUUAUACUGUCUCCUUUUUCUAAUCAGUGAAACUAAUUUUCCCGUGAAGAAGCGGGAAUACAACUAUAAGACGAGAAGACCCUAUGGAGCUUUAAACGACCUAGCAAUUACUUCUAAAAUUAUAAAUUUCAGAAUACUCAUUCUUUAAGCAAUAUGUCUGCAAGUUUUUGGUUGGGGUGACCAUGGAGAAUAACACAACCUCCAUAUUGAAUGAAUUUUUAUUCUAAGCUAAGAAUUACUAAUUAAAGCAUCAACACACUGACAUUUAUUGAC